AGCAGCGCAGGGAGCAGCGGGAGUCCAGCCGGAGGCUUUUCAACAGGUGAUGCUGUCCAAACCCGACUGACUGCGGAUCCGCGAAACACGAAUGGAUCCCUAUUUAAGACGGAGCUGGAGAAGGCUUUUUCACUUAUUAUCUUUGUAUUUUGUCCUAAUAUAUCAAGCGCAUCUGUCCUGGGGUGUUGAGAGAGUGAACCUUUCUAACAGGGAGGAAUUUAAUAACAGCGGGAGCAGCAGGAUAAAGCAGCAGAAAUGGGACACCGCUUCCCAGGGAGGGCAGGACCUCCAGACAGGAGCUGCUGCGUUAGAAGCCAACAUGUCUUCCUCCAGUCAUUCACCGGUCAGCAGGACUGCUGCGUCCAACCUGACGUCCAACCCCGUGUCCUCCAGCACAGAGAGGACACCGACCUCCUCAUGGACCGUCAGCUCUGACCAAUCAUCCACAACCACAGCAACAUCCAGUCAAACACCAGCAAGAACAGAAACAUCCAGCCAAUCACCAAGCAGCACAGAACAAGACAGCCAAUCACCAGGCAGUACAGCACCAGCCAGCCAAUCAGCAACCAAGACAGCACAAUCCAACCAAUCACAAACCAGCCCAGGAUCAGCUAGCCAAUCGCAAGGAAGCACGACACAAACCAGCCAAUCAUCAGGACGCACAACACAAACCAGCCAAUCUCCAACCACUACAGCACAAACCAGCCAAUUAACCAGCAGUUCAACACAAAGUAGCCGAUCUUCAACCAUCACAACACCAGAUAGCCCAACAUCAUAUAGCCCAGCAACAUCCAGUCAAUCACCAUCUAUCACAGCAUCAGCCAGCCAAUCAACAGGCAGCACAACACACACCAGCCAAUCACCAGAACGUACAACACACACCAGCAAAUCACCUGAGCGCACAACACAAACCAGUCAAUCAUCAGGACGUAUAACACAAACUAGCCAAUCUCGAACCACCACAAAACAAGUCAGCCAACCAUCAGCUAGCCCAGUACAAGCUAACCAAUCGCAAGCCAAUGAAGCACAAUCUGUUCAGUCGCCGACAAAUGCAGGACUUCCUAGCCAAUCACCAACCAUCACAGGUUCAGCCAGCCAAUCAACAAGUAGAACAACACCAUCCAGCCAUUCACCAACAAGCACACCAAAAUCCAGCCAAUCACCAACCAAUGUACAACCAAUGUAUAACCACUCACCACCCACAUUAAUAGCAGCUAAUCAAUCCAAAAACAGCUCAAAAACUUCACUCCACGUAUCAUCCAGUUUAACAUCACAUAUCCAGUCAAAUUCACCACCAUCUGACCAAUCCCUGACCAGUGCAGUACCAUCAAACCAAUCAUCAACUGGUUCAGUGUCACCAGCCAACUCAGUUAGUGGAGUCUUUUCACCAGAUGAGCAUCCAGUUAAUAUUUCACAGCUCACCAGGCAGGCGAAGGAAGCCUUGAAGUCAUCGCUUCGUAGGACUCCAGCGGAGCCAUGUGUGUUUCCCUGCCUGAACGGAGGACAGUGUGUUCAGUCUGAGUCAUGUGACUGCAGCUUGUAUCAGGCCAAUGGACACAGAUGUCAGACAGUUCCAAAUCCUGGCUUCGAGAGGGAGAUGACAUGCAGGACGUGGGGCCAGUACAACUUUGAGACCUUUGACGGCCUCUACUACCACUUCCCCGGUCGGUGCACAUACACUCUGCUGAGGGACUGUGAAGAAACCACCCAGGCCAGCAUCGUCGUCCAGGUCCACAACGACCCGGGCUGCAGCUCCGCCCCCUACACCUGCCAACGAUCCGUCAGCCUCUUCCUCCCGUGGGAGGGUGAGGUUCGGCUGCACGCCACCAAUGUGACCUUCAAAGGCCAAAGUUUGCAGCUGCCUCAUCACAUCCAUGACCUGCAGCUGGAGCACAUCUCACAGUACGUUCUGGUGACGCAGCAGCACGGCUUCACACUGGCCUGGGAGGGACGCAGCGGCUCCGUUUAUAUCAAACUCAGCCCUGAGUUUGUGGGCAGAACCUGCGGCCUGUGUGGGAACUUCAACGCAGACGUCCAGGAUGACCUGAAGACGAGUUAUGGUGUGCUGACUCAUGACAUAGAAAUGUUCGGGAAUAGCUGGGUGGAGGCGGAUCCACACGAGGCCCGAUGUCCCAUGGUGCCUUCUGACUUCCCCUCACCAUGUGCUGCAGUGGAAAAAGUGGAGGAGGUGUGUGCGAUGCUGCUGGAUCCCCCAUUUCAGAGCUGCCACGACUUCGUCAGCCCGCUGUCCUACAUGGCCAGCUGCUCCAACGACCUCUGCAUGUCGGGUCCCAGCGGUGAUGUGGUAUGCCAGGUGUUCAGCGAGUAUGCCCGGGCCUGCGCCCAUGCUGACCACCCACUGCACGAUUGGAGGCAGCACAUUCCUCACUGUCUUCAGUACAGGGAAUGCAUCAGCUGCUGCCCAGCGUCAUGCAACCUGGAGCGAACAUGCAUCGACAGCAAGCUGGCCUGCCUGGACGGAUGCUACUGUCCCGAUGGUCUAAUCUACGAGGACGGAGGCUGUGUGACACCCUCUGACUGUCCCUGUGAGUACCAUGGCAUGUUUUAUCCGUCUGGACAGACGCUGCAGGAGGAAUGCAACAACUGCACAUGUGUGGGUGGAGUGUGGAACUGUACAGACUACAGCUGCCCAGGCGAGUGCUCAGUGACCGGUGACAUGUAUUUUCAAUCUUUUGACGGACGGAUCUUCACCUUCCCCGCAACCUGUCAGUACGUCCUCGCCAAAAGUCGCAGCUCAGGGAAGUUCACGGUCACCAUCCAGAACGCCCCCUGUGGAGCGAAUUUGGAUGGGGCCUGCAUCCAAUCAGUUAACCUGGUUAUUGACGAGGAUCCAAGGACGGAGAUUACAUUGAGCCACGUCGGAGAGGUCUUCAUGGCUGGACAGUACCGCAUCUCCCUGCCGUAUUCUGACGACAUCUUCCACAUCCAGGAGCUGUCGUCCAUGUUCCUCCAGGUGAAGACGGCAUUCGGCCUGCGUCUGCAGUACAGCUGGAAGGAGUUUCGACUCUACCUGCAGGCUGAGGAGCUGUGGAAGGAUGACACAGUGGGCCUGUGCGGCACCUUCAAUGGCAACAUUCAAGAUGACUUCCUGUCUCCGUCAGGUAUGAUAGAAAGCACUCCUCAGCUGUUUGGAAAUGCCUGGCGGGUCUCGUCAGCAUGUUCACCUAGCUUGAGUAUGCCUCAGCUCGACCCCUGUGACACACACCAGCAGGCCGUGGCCUAUGCCUCAGAGAUGUGUGACGUACUGAACCAGGAUCUGUUCUCUGCCUGCCACGAGUACCUCAGCCCGACAAGUUUCCACCAGCAGUGUCGCUCAGACACCUGUAAGUGCGGGACGCCUUGCCUCUGCUCUGCGCUGGCCCACUACGCUCACCACUGCCGCAGAUUCUCUGUCAUCAUUGACUUUCGAUCGCAGAUAUCGGACUGUGGGGUCGACUGUCCUGCCACCAUGCAGUAUGGCACCUGCGUGUCAUCCUGCCAGCGCCGUUGCUCCGCCCUCUCCGUCCCGCAGCACUGUGGGGAGGAGUGUGAGGAGGGCUGCGUCUGCCCUCUGGGAUCCUUCUACAACCACCGCACACACACCUGUGUGCACAGGAGCGAGUGUCCCUGCAGUUUCCUUGGGGCAGAUUAUGAACCGGGAGAUGUGAUCAUGACGUCAGCAGCACCUUCCUCUUCUCCUCUUACAGACAGGCUGUGUCCAGCUGGUCAGCUCUACCAGAACUGCUCAGAGGGGGACGAUGGCCUCCUGUCUGGAAGGGGUGUGGCCUGCGAGCACACCUGUGAGUCCUACCUGCUCAACCUCACCUGCUCGACACAUGAGCCCUGCGUGGCUGGAUGUACCUGCCCUCCUGGCUUGUUAAAACAUGGAGACGAGUGCUUUGAACCUGCAUCCUGCCCCUGUCUAUGGAAAGGGAAGGAGUACUACCCCGGUGACAGAGUGUCCUCCCCCUGCCAUCAGUGUGUUUGCCAGCACGGGACGUUCCAGUGUGUAUUUCAUCCGUGUCCGUCAAUGUGCAUGGCUUACGGUGAUCGCCACUACAGGACAUUUGAUGGGCUGCUGUUUGACUACGUUGGUGCAUGCAAAGUCUAUCUUGUAAAGAGCAGCUCUGAUGUGAUGCUCAGUGUAGCAACCGAGAAUGUUGACUGUUUAGACAGCGGAGUCAUCUGCAGGAAAUCUCUCCUGAUCAACAUUGGAAGAUCAUUCGUAGCAUUCGAUGAUGACACUGGAAAGCCGAAUCCAUCCAGUGUGAUUGACAGGAAGCAGCGGAUGUUCAUCUGGCCAGCUGGAUACUUCACAGUGGUUCAUUUCCCAGAGGAAGAUGUCACCGUCCUUUGGGACCGUAAGACCACCGUCCACGUCCAGGUCGGACCUCGCUGGCAGGGAAAGCUAAGCGGCCUGUGUGGGAAUUUUGACAUGAAGACGGUGAACGAGAUGAGGACCCCCGACAACAUCGACUCCGCAACUCCACAGGAGUUUGGAAACAGCUGGACUGCAGCAGAGUGUGUGAACAGUCCUGAUAUCAGACACCCCUGCAGCCUCAGUCCUCUCAGAGAGCCUUAUGCGAAGCGUCGGUGUGCCGUCCUGCUUGGGGAGGUCUUCCAGGCCUGCCACCCAGUGGUGGAUGUUACCUGGUUCUACAUGAAUUGUUUGGCAGACACGUGUGGUUGCAGUCGUGGAGGCGACUGUGAGUGUUUCUGCACCAGUGUGGCGGCAUACGCUCAACGCUGCUGCCACCAGGGUGUUCCUGUCGACUGGCGAGCUCCGUCUCUGUGCCUUCUGGGUAAAGGUCCCUUCAGGCUGAUCACCUUCAGGGAUCGGACGACACUGUUAGCAGCCAGCAGUUCCAGUGGCUCUGUGUUCCUGCAGCGGGGCAACCUCAGCGCCACUGCCACCCCGAGAGUUCUCUCACAGUUCAUGAUGACACCGGGCCUCAGCAGAGCCCGACCACACGACACAUCGAGGGUUUCUUUCGAGGCAGCCGAGAGACCAAACUAUUUUCUGUACACGAGCCCCAGUGGUCAGGUGAGGCUGGCAAAGUGGGAGGACAGCGUGGCAUUCUGGGAUGGAGCCACCUUUGUCCUGCACAGGAACACCUGGAUCCCUGGCUACGACUCCCUGGAGUCCCACGCAAAACCCGGCUUCUUCCUGCACGCCACGCUGCCCCGCCUCCACCUGCUCAAAUACAGACACACUGACAGCUUCCGCAAGGCCACGCUGUUCAGACUGACAGAUGCCCCACCCGGUCCUCGGUGUCAGUGGAGGUACGAUUCCUGUGUCGUUCCCUGCUUCAAGACCUGCAGCGACCCGUCAGCUGAAGCCUGCAUCACCAUCCCACAAGUGGAAGGCUGCCUCCCUGUCUGCCCUCCACACAUGGUCCUGGAUGAGGUCACUCGUCGCUGUGUCUAUGUUGAAGACUGUAAGUUUCCCCUGAUUGAGUUCACUACAACCACAGAAUCAGUCGCACCGGUUGCACCUUUCACCAUCAGCAAAACAACACCGUACAUAAGUCCAGAGACAACAACACCACCUGUUACCACAGAGAGGAUUCUGCCCGUUACUCCCACUGAACCAACGUCUUCUACAACACCCGCUGCUGAGCUACAAACUUCACAGCCACUCCAUGUUGUACCGACUACAACUUCACCAUCUGCUCCUACCUCAGUUACUACACACUGGAGAACAACAACAAGGAAAGUGACCACACAUGAAUCCACUGUGUCUGAAAUACAUGUCGCUACCACAACAAUGGCUGUACCUCCACCUCUAGACAUUACAGACAGCACUACUGUUUCCCACUCCACAACCUAUUCAGAGAGAACUUCCUGGUCUGCUGCCGCCCCAUCAACAGAGACAAUCACCUCAAGACCCCCAGAGGUUCCAGAAACCUCCACCAUGCCCACGGGUCAUCCUGUCACACCUGUGUCUCUUACAGAUACCACCACUGUACCACUUUUACCAACAACAGAGAGCUCCACCCAUCCUGUAACAACCGAGAAGGCCUCUGCGCCAUGGCGUCCUCCCCAUCGGGAGACCUCCACCACCCUGGUCUACAGCCCGACAGUGAAAACUACACCAGAGGUCACUUCUGAAGCUGUCGUCCAUGUCAUCACUUCCACUAGAACUACUGAGGUGCCUCACCUUCCUGAAACAUCACAGCCAGUUGUGACCUCUUCGACAUCAGCUGCUGCUACAACUACUACUGCCAAAACUACAACCUCUGCUAAAAUCUCAACUGCAGAAAUUGCAGUCACUACAACCAGGACACUGGUUACACUGCCUCCUUCACCUGUACCUGGUAUUCCUGAGACACAUCUCACCACUGUCUCCACAAAAGCUCCACUAGAUGUUGACACCACCACUCUCAGACCUGUCAUUGUUCAGCCGAUUACAGGGACAACACAUCCAGUGACUGGCAGAGUGGAGGUGUCAACAAGAGCCACAACUACGCCGCCUCCAACUUGGUCUCAGUUGCACACAACCACUUCCACUGCAACUCCAAGGCCAACAACUGUACAGGACAAAGUCACCACCCGGCUGGUGUCCACUGCAAGAGCUACACCUUCUACAACAACUACAACCACCACACAGACGACCACCCUCAGAACGACACCCAGAGUUCCCGUGACAACAAGAGUCACUCCCAGAAUCACGUCGACUCAGAGAUCAACUGUCAGGCCAGUCUCCGCAAGGGUUACCAUAGCAACAAGGCCUCCAGCAGUGACGAUCACAUCAACCACUCCGGGCCCACCAACAGUCGCUCCAAGCCCUGGCACAGCAACCACGUUAGGAGUGCCACCUACUACCAAGUUGGUUACUACAGUGAGCCUGACUGAACACGCCGACACAACUGAAACAGUUUCUCGCCUGACCACCAUAACUGCUCCAGCACCCGUUCCUACUCUAACAACAGUUACGGCAUCUACAGCUGUCCCCACCAGAGAGUCAGCAACAUCUGAGAAAACCAUGACAACCAAAGAGACCGUCGUGUCACCGCUCACAUCCCAACCAGUGACGCCUCCACCAGAUACAAUGAUUUCCACCCAGAGGUCCACUGUUCCUACUGCCACUACAACUUCACUUCCAGCAGCCACCUCGGUCCAAACGACGGAGCAGGACAGAGUCGAUCACACGAGUGCAGGUGCAACAACGCCUCCUCCUCCGUAUGCAGAGAUAGUCGAUGAGUGCACAAAGUACAUCUGUGUCAAUAGCCAGCUCGUCCUGUUCAACAAAUCACAGAGCUGUCCCUUCACCGCCGACCCUCCCAACUGCGGCUUGCUUGGCUUUGCCAUUCUGGUCAAUGGAGACAAGUGCUGCCCGAAGUGGGACUGUCCAUGUCGCUGCUCGAUGUUUCCAGAUCUAAAUGUGAUCACAUUUGAUGGGAACAGCGUUGCAGUCUACAAAGCUGCCUCAUACAUAGUGACCCAACUGCCCAAUGAGACCGUCAGUGUCCUGGUUCAAGAGUGUCCAGCUAACUCUGAGUCACCACUCCUCUGGAAUUUCACCAACCUGUGUCUGGUGGCGCUCAACAUCACCCACAACUCCAAUCACAUCAUCAUCAACAGGCUGCAGAGGAGGCUCUAUGUCAAUUCACGGUACGCCAAACCUCGAUUUAAAAAGUUUGGAUUUGAGAUCUACGACACAGGCAACAUGUACCUGAUCCGCAGCCCGGCUGGUCUUAAGCUGCAGUGGUACCACAGUACCGGCAUGAUGGUGAUCGACACCGACAGCUCCAGCACCAAGCUCCACACCAAGGGCCUCUGUGGAUUCUGUGACGGAGACCCGACAAAUGACCUGACUUUGGCCAAUGGCACCACAGUGGGCGCAAGUGAGGAUCCGGCUAUUUUCAUCGACAGCUGGCAGGUUCCCAACACCACCAGCUACAUCAGCCACAGCCGCCGCAGAGAACGCAACUGCUCCACAAGCGACUGCUCCACCUGCCUGGUCAUGCUGCAGAACCCUGCCUUCACGCCCUGCCACGCCUUUGUCCCACCGAGCACAUUCUGUGAGGUUUGGGUACGAGAUGAAGAGUACGUCAACAACCAGUGUGUGGCGCUGGCUGCCUACGUGGCAUCUUGCCACAAAUUCAACAUCUGCAUUGAGUGGAGGCGUCCAGAUUACUGCCCCUUUGUGUGUUCCGACACUCUGCGGUAUCAGGCCUGUCUGCCGGCCUGCACGUCUCAGUCCUGCCCCAACCAUGACUUCGACUCUGACCCAGAUCAGUGUUCAGGCCUGACGGAGGGCUGCGUGUGCCCUGAGGGAACGCUCCUCCACCGGCCGUACUCCGCCCUCUGCAUCUCACCUGAGAAGUGUGCUUGCACUGACAGCUCUGGUGCUCCCCGUGCACACGGCGAGGUUUGGAAAGCCUCAAAGGACGCCUGCUGCAUGUACCGCUGCGACAACGACACCAUCGUCCCAGUGGAGUACAACUGCUCCAACAUUGCGGAGCCAGUGUGCCAUCGAGUUGGGGAAGUGAUUAUCAGCCUGGCUGACGAUGCCAGCUGCUGCCCGCAGAGAGUCUGCGUGUGUAACCAGAGCUUGUGUGACCUGCUGCCUCCUGAGUGUAAAUAUGGGGAGAAGCUGGUGUCGUACUACAGACAGGACUCCUGCUGUCCCGACUAUGUGUGUGAGUGUGAUCCUGACCUCUGUGAAUCAGACGUUCCCUCCUGCAGAGACGACCAGACUCUGAUCGCCACCAGAGCUGAUGGCAGCUGCUGUCUCGCACACAUCUGCAUGUGUUCGUCCUGUCCGGUGUCGCCUCCUCUCUGCGUUGACGGCGAGGUGCUGACGGUGGACAGUAACACCACAGACCGCUGCUGCCCCACCUACCAGUGUGUGUGUGAGCCCUACAGGUGUCCCCAGCUUGGUUGUCCUGUUGGGAUGUCGGUGAUGUCUGUAUCAAGUCCGGGUCGCUGCUGUCCCAACCAAACAUGUGUGCGCGAGGCGGUGUGUGUGUUAGGCGAGCGAGGUGUGUUGCGGCCCGGACAGACGCUGGUGGAACACGAUGACGACGGCUUGUGUCACAGCAGGCAGUGCAGCCGCAGCCUCGACCUGGCGAGCGGCUUCCACCUGCUCCGCACCAGCAGCAUCAACUGCUCCGCCCACUGCCAACCAAAUCAGAUCUACGUCCCUCCGAAGGAUCAGUCUACAUGCUGCGGUGUGUGUAAGAAUAUUUCCUGCCUCUAUGAACACGAGAACGGGACAACAGUUCUCUAUAAGCCUGGGAAGUCCUGGGUAUCAAACUGCAUGAAGUUCGACUGCACAGACACUCUAUCUGGACCCACGCUCAUCUCCUACACCUUCAGCUGCCCACCAUUCAACGAAACAGAGUGUAUGAAGGUCAGCAUCGGUGGAACUGUCGUAAGUUACAUGGAGGGAUGCUGUAAGACGUGCAAAGAAGAUGGGAAGUCAUGCCAGAAGGUGACGGUGAGGAUGACUAUAAGGAAGAACGACUGUCGAAGCAACAGACCGGUGAACAUCGUGUCAUGUGACGGGAAGUGUCCGUCUGCCAGCAUCUACAACUACAACAUCAACACGUACGCUCGCUUCUGCAAGUGCUGCAGGGAGACGGGGCUGCAGCGGCGCUCCGUACAGCUCUACUGCAGCGGUAACGCCACCUGGGUCAGCUACACCAUCCAGGAGCCCACCGACUGCUCCUGCCAGUGGUCCUGAACACACACACACACACACACACACACACACACAGUAUUCAGAUCUACAUCCUCUAAAACCACGAGAGAUAGAAGAAGAGGGAGAAGAAACCACAGCCAUGUUGCUAUAGGAUGCUGGGAGAGUGAAGUACUGAGCUGUGAUUUCCAGGGCUGAAUGACUUUUAUUAGUUAGAUGUCCCGGUGCCUCUGCUGGCUGGGAGGAGGUACUGCAUAGCAGCGAGGCAGGACUUACUCCUCCGCAGGCAGAAUCAAUCUAUAGGAGACCGUAAGGUGACCCUUGACAUCUGAUUUUCCCCUUCACACUGAAGCAGAUAGGGUGCGACAAAAUUAAGUGUGGCCCACUUGACACCACAUGAUGAGUUUUAUUAUAUAUGUCAUUUCAGAGAAUUGUGAUUUUGACAUUGACAUCUUUUUGUUUUUCAUACAUUCAUACAUGCCACAGUUUAGUAAGUAAACACCUUCGUGAUCUUUUUCAUAACUCUACAUAUGAAAUUCAUGGAUUGAAGAUGUGUAAAGAAGAACCAAACACCCAAAGAAAAAUAAAACAACAUCAACAAAAUAAACA
rnacentral:lncRNA from 1 species